UACGGAGGAUGCAAGCGUUAUCCGGAUUUAUUGGGUUUAAAGGGUGCGCAGGCGGCUGCGCAAGUCAGUGGUGAAAACCUGCCGCUUAACGGUAGGCCUGCCAUUGAUACUGCGCGGCUUGAGUAUGGUUGAGGUAGGCGGAAUGUGCGGUGUAGCGGUGAAAUGCAUAGAUAUCGCACAGAACGCCGAUUGCGAAGGCAGCUUACUAAGCCAUCACUGACGCUGAGGCACGAAAGCGUGGGUAGCGAACAGGAUUAGAUACCCUGGUAGUCCACGCCGUAAACGAUGUUCACCCGCUGUUUGCGAUAUAAAGCAAGCGGCUGAGCGAAAGCAUUAAGUGAACCACCUGGGGAGUACGCCCGCAAGGGUGAA
rnacentral:rRNA from 1 species